rnacentral:rRNA from 1 species
UACGAAGGGGGCUAGCGUUGCUCGGAAUCACUGGGCGUAAAGGGUGCGUAGGCGGGUCUUUAAGUCAGGGGUGAAAUCCUGGAGCUCAACUCCAGAACUGCCUUUGAUACUGAGGAUCUUGAGUUCGGGAGAGGUGAGUGGAACUGCGAGUGUAGAGGUGAAAUUCGUAGAUAUUCGCAAGAACACCAGUGGCGAAGGCGGACUCACUGGCCCGAUACUGACGCUGACUGCGC